rnacentral:rRNA from 1 species
UACGUAGGGACCAAGCGUUGUUCGGAUUUACUGGGCGUAAAGGGCGCGUAGGCGGCGUGUCAAGUCAAUUGUGAAAUCUCCGGGCUUAACUCGGAACGGUCAAUUGAUACUGAUGUGCUAGAGUGCAGAAGGGGCAAUCGGAAUUCUUGGUGUAGCGGUGAAAUGCGUAGAUAUCAAGAGGAACACCUGAGGUGAAGGCGGGUUGCUGGGCUGACACUGACGCUGAGGCGCGAAAGCUAGGGUAGCAAACGGG